rnacentral:rRNA from 1 species
GUAGGGAAUCUUGCGCAAUGGGCGAAAGCCUGACGCAGCCAUGCCGCGUGAAUGAUGAAGGUCUUAGGAUUGUAAAAUUCUUUCACCGGGGACGAUAAUGACGGUACCCGGAGAAGAAGCCCCGGCUAACUUCGUGCCAGCAGCCGCGGUAAUACGAAGGGGGCUAGCGUUGCUCGGAAUUACUGGGCGUAAAGGGAGCGUAGGCGGAUAGUUUAGUCAGAGGUGAAAGCCCAGGGCUCAACCUUGGAAUUGCCUUUGAUACUGGCUAUCUUGAGUAUGGAAGAGGUAUGUGGAACUCCGAGUGUAGAGGUGAAAUUCGUAGAUAUUCGGAAGAACACCAGUGGCGAAGGCGACAUACUGGUCCAUUACUGACGCUGAGGCUCGAAAGCGUGGGGAGCAAACAGGAUUAGAAACCCCUGUGUCC